rnacentral:rRNA from 1 species
CUUGGUCAUUUAGAGGAAGUAAAAGUCGUAACAAGGUUUCCGUAGGUGAACCUGCGGAAGGAUCAUUAUCGAAAUCUGCUGGGAAAGCGUGGAGACGGAGGAGACGAGCAGGCGAAGUUUGACGGUGGUUGUCGCUGGCCUCCCUCGGGGGGGGCAUGUGCACGCCUACGUCCUAGUCUUCUGUUCUCUUUUCUUCUUUGCGUGGACUCGGUUUUUCAAACACACCUGUGCACCCGUUGUAGGCUUUCUCGAGAGGGAAAUGCCUAUGUCUUUCAUAAACUCGUUUGUAUGUCUAUAGAAUGUCUAUGUUUGACGUCGUCGUUCGUUCGGCGACGGUAAACGAAACUUUGAACAACUUUCAGCAAUGGAUCUCUUGGCUCUCGCAUCGAUGAAGAACGCAGCGAAUUGCGAUAAGUAAUGUGAAUUGCAGAUUUUCCGUGAAUCAUCGAAUCUUUGAACGCACCUUGCGCUCCUUGGUAUUCCGAGGAGCAUGCCUGUUUGAGUGUCAUUAAAUUCUCAACCAUGUCUCGAUUGAUUUCGAGCGCAUGGCUUGGAUGUGGGGGCUGCUGGCGGCGCGAGCCGUCGGCUCUCCUGAAAUGCAUUAGCAAAGUCGAGUCUUUUCGUGCACGGCCUUUCGACGUGAUAAUGAUCGUCGUGGCUGGAGCGAGAGGCGUGAAUCGUCGUUGCUUCCAAUACUGCUGAUCCUCGCGGAUCGCGCUUUCUUAAGCUUGACCUCAAAUCAGGUAGGACACCCGCUGAACUUAAGCAUAUCAAUAAGCGGAGGA